GGAAGCUGUUAGAGCAAUGUAUAAAACAUUCAAUUUGCGAAUAUCUGGAGGAUGAAGAGGUAAUCACUAGCAACCAGAAUGAAUUUACUAAGAACAAAUCAUGCCAAACCAGCUUGAUUUCUUUCUUUAAGAAGGGAGAAAAGGAGUACUUGUGGCACCUUAGAGACUA